UACGUAGGGUGCAAGCGUUUGUCCGGAAUUAUUGGGCGUAAAGAGCUCGUAGGCGGUUUGUCGCGUCUGCUGUGAAAACCCGAGGCUCAACCUCGGGCCUGCAGUGGGUACGGGCAGACUAGAGUGCGGUAGGGGGAGAUUGGAAUUCCUGGUGUAGCGGUGGAAUGCGCAGAUAUCAGGAGGAACACCAAUGGCGAAGGCGGGUCUCUGGGCAGUAACUGACGCUGAGGAGCGAAAGCGUGGGGAGCGAACAGG
rnacentral:rRNA from 1 species